rnacentral:rRNA from 1 species
CCUACGGGUGGCAGCAGUCGAGAAUCAUUCACAAUGGGGGAAACCCUGAUGGUGCGACGCCGCGUGGGGGAAUGAAGGUCUUCGGAUUGUAAACCCCUGUCAUGUGGGAGCAAAUUAAAAAGAUAGUACCACAAGAGGAAGAGACGGCUAACUCUGUGCCAGCAGCCGCGGUAAUACAGAGGUCUCAAGCGUUGUUCGGAAUCACUGGGCGUAAAGCGUGCGUAGGCUGUUUCGUAAGGCGGGGGUGAACGGCGCGGGCGCAACCCGCGGACGGCACAUGAUACUGCGAGACUAGAGUAAUGGAGGGGGAACCGGAAUUCUCGGUGUAGCAGUGAAAUGCGUAGAUAUCGAGAGGAACACUCGUGGCGAAGGCGGGUUCCUGGACAUUAACUGACGCUGAGGCACGAAGGCCAGGGGAGCGAAAGGGAUUAGAUACCCGGGUAGUC